rnacentral:lncRNA from 1 species
UUUUUUUCUUUUUAGGGCUGCACCUGUGUCAUAUGGACGUUGCCAGGCUAGGGGUCGAAUUGGGGCUGUAGCUACUGGCCUGCACCACAGCCAGAGCAACUCCAGGUCUCAGCUGCAUCUGCAACCUAUAUCAUAGCUCACCACUGCAACGCUGGAUCCUUAACCCACUGAGUGAGGCCAGGGGUCAAACCCUCAUCCUCAUGGAUACUUGUCAGGUUUGUUACCACUGAGCCCCCAUGAGAACUCCUGGAGAUUCUUCUUAUUCUUUUUUUUUUUUUUUUUUUUUUUUUUGUCUUUUUGCCAUUUCUUGGGCCACUCCUGCAGCAUAUGGAGGUUCCCGGGCUAGGGGUCGAAUCGGAGCUGUAGCCGCCGGCCUACGUCACAGCCACAGCAAUGUGGGAUCUGAGCUGCGUCUGUGACCUACAUCACAGCUCACGGCAAUGCCGGAUCCUUAACCCACUGAGCAAGGUCAGGGAUUGAACCCGCAACCUCAUGGUUCCUAGUCGAUUCGUUAACCACUGAGCCACAACGGGAACUCCUGGAGCUUCUUUUAAGACAGGCUUUCACCCAGUACUUUGGCUGUGAGACCUGACGCUGAGUGUGAUGGAGAGUGGUCGAGAACGGAGGGGGAAAAGUCAGCCUGGGGAGCUUGGGCAGGACCAGGUUCCAAAGGAAGGGUUCCUGAGCUAGAACCUGCUUGUGGGAACUCAUGCUGCCUUUGUAAGGGCUGUCCUGUGGGGCAUUUUAACCCUGGAGGUGCUCCCACCAGUCAAGCCGACUGGCUGACGUAGCCAUGCCUGUGCAGCCUGCCCCUGCCCUGUGUAGGGCUUGAGUGGCACCUCAGCAGGUUGCCCAGGAGUUCUUUGUCAUGUUUGGCCCUUCUGCGCCGUAGUGACUGAGUGAUGACCAAAGCAAGAGGGACUCUGCGGUUACUAUUUUGAUAAGCCUAGUUCUCAUUUCAUUUUUUUUUUAAAAGAAGAGGCUAAACUAUUUAGGUUAUUGAUGUAGAUAGGUUUCAUUUUUUUUCUUCAAUCAUCCAUGGAGAACCAUUUCAUAAUUCACUGAAUAUACAAUAAACACAGGCUUAGUUUUCAAAAGAAAGAAGGGAUUUGUAGCGUCUUAAAAGAUAUAAAUUCCUCUAAAAUUUCCACUGUGAGUUGACAGGGCAUCAUUCCCUCUAAAAUCUUUGUUAUGAAAACCACAUAAAGAGCACACAAUCAUUUAUUGCAUAAUUUAAUACCAUUGUUAUUCAUUUAUAGAGCACUUCUUAUCGGAAAAGUUUUAACCAUUUAUAAGAACCUUGUGAGGAAACCAACAUUGCUCCUAUUUUAGUGAUAAAGAAAAAUGAAGCUCCCAGGAUCCAAACGAGUGGCCCCAAGGAUUACCAGAAAAGGAGUUAAUGUUCUGAAAGCGAAGAUAAAAUUUCUCUGUAGUUUCAUCUCCCUUCCCACCCAGAGAUUAAAAAAAGCUGACAUUUUGAUGUAUUUUCUCUAAGCUUUUUGUUCUCUGCUAUAAAUGUAAAGAAUAUCAUAAUGUUUGGUAAACAUUUUCUUAUGUUAUUCAUUAGUCUCCGAAAACGGGAUUUUUAAGUGUUGUAUAACAGUUCCUCACGCUGAUGCCCCAGAGCUUAUGUAACCACUCUUCCCAUGGUAUAUUUGGGUUGCUUCCUGUUGGCUCUUAUAAAGGAUGCUCUGGAAAACAUGUUUGUUCACAUACAUUAUUGACAGAGAGGUAGAUAUCGCCUAGAAAAACCUAAAGAGUAGACAGCCACCAUCAACUAAGAUCUAGAUAUCAUCUGAAAUGUGCAAAAGACUCUUCUAGAUGUGGGGGCACAGGAUGGAAAAGGGAUGCUCUGACUGUAGCAACUUGAUUGAUACUUGGAAUUUACAUGAGAUAACAUGAAAAGUAUUAAUACGAGGCAAUAAUCAACCCCAAAGGCAUGGAAUGAACAGCAGCAUACACCAUCAGGCUGUGCAGGGUUGAUGCUAAAAACGUCAAUCGCUUUGUUUCAAUUUGCAAAAGCUAAGGGUUUGGACCACUGAGUAUGUAGAACUUGAAUUGGGCUCCCAAGGGCAGCUAAGUGUGGUGUGGACUUACAAUAAAACAGAUCUGGGAGUUCCCUGGUGGCCUGGUGAUAAAGGACUUGGUGUUGUCACUGCUGUGACUUCGGGGUCUGCUGUGGCAUGGGUUUGAUCUCUGGACCGGGAACUUCUGCAUACCUCGGGUGUGGCCAAAACAAACAAACAGAUCUGGCUGUAGCUCCUAGUUCUAAUUCCUAGCAAUAUAAAUGUAGACCAGUUACUUUCCUUUUUAUGACCCCAGUCUUCUCAUUUGCAAAAUGGAAAUAAUAAUAUCACUGUUGGGAGUUCCCUUGUGGCACAGCAGGUUAAGGAUAUGGCAUUGUUGGUGCUGUGGCUCAGGUCCCUGCUGUGGGUUCCGUCCCUGGCCUGGGAACUUCCACAUGCAGUGGGUAUGGACAAAAAAAAAAAAAAAAAAAAAAAAAAACCAAGAAAGAAAGAAAGAAAGAAAAAAAUAAUAUAAUUGUCAUCAAGGAUUAGGUGGAAUAAUGACUACAAGGACUUUUAAUGUUAUUAAUUAUUACAAAUGGAAACAUUUCAGGAGAGUGACUGGAAUUUUGAUAUCAUUUUGCAGUUUACCACAUAGACAGAAGGUAUUUGAAACAGUAUGGCAACAAAGAGUUUUGGGGCUGCAGUAAAAUGUUUAAGACCUGUUGUAUUCUAGAGUGCAUGCAAACCCAAGGAGGAAUUAAAAGAGUACGUGUCAAAUACAUAUCUCCUUCUCCAUUUGAAAUGGUUUUGUGUCUAGAACUUUUGCAGCUCAGAGCUCCAAGGACACUAAAUGGCUUGUUGGCAGCCCCAAAUGUUGGUGUCACAGUGGUUUUGUGGCCUCCAGGGCUGGUGAGGAAAUGCCCUUACACUCAUCCUCAGAGGAUGCUUGGUCUUCUGGAUGGAUGGAGGGUCGUACAGCUUUCUUGCCAAAACUCAGAUUGCAUGAAAUUCUUCAUUCACUGGGCAAGCAGAGAAGCUGGAAGCACAAGCAGAAUGGAAAAAUCAUCUUUCUUUUUUAAUGUCCUGAGGAAGAGAAAAUCUUUGUGGUCGGGAGGGCUAGAUGAAAGAUAGAGUUGGACAGCUUGGAGGGUACUUAGGAGCAUAAAUGGGUUGAGUGAGAUAGAAAUAUGGGUACCAUACUUCAUUUGGGAGAGGUUUACGUGUGGAGAGGAGGUCCUGAGAAUGGACAUGGCAGCGUGGGCCUGAGAGAGUUCCAGGGAUUCUGGGGCUGGAGUGACACAGGGCCGGUAUUCUGGGGCUGUGCCAGGCAGCAAAGAGGAGAGUUAGGCUGGAAGCCCAUUGUGUGUGUGUGAGUGUGCAAGGAUGUGUGCAAAUGUAUAUCAGUGUGUGAGAGAGUGUAUGUGUGUGAAUGUGUUUGAAGAUGGAAGAGUCUAUGUACAGGAGUGUAUGAGAAUGUGAGUGUGUGUUUGCGUGUGUGACAAUGUGUGAGAAUGUGUGAGUGUAUGUAUGUGAGUAAGGGUGCGUGUGUUGGUCCAAAGGAAAUCUCAUCUUGGAGAAGUCUAGUAAGGGCUUCUCCAAACUUUUAACUGGGGCUCCUGGGUAUUUAACUUAGGAAUACUCUCUGCUAUCAGCUUUGCUGUGUUGGAGAAACUUUCUCUGGGGCAGGUACGUAAUACAGUGUUUUUUUUUUUUAAAUUAAAUUAAAUAAGAAAAUGAAGUAUAGUUUUUUCACACCUGAGGUUCCCACUGAGUGAAGGCAGGGAUUGAACCCGUGUCCUCGUGGAUACUGGUCAGGUUUGUGAACCACUGAGCCACAAUGGGAACUCCAAAGCAUACUUGAUGAACUCGUAGCACAGUGCUAAGUGCCGGAACUCUGCCAUCCGCUUGCCUGGAGGCCUUGCCUGUAUAAACUUGGGCAAAUAACUGCUCUGUCCCUUAGUUUCCUUGUCCCUAGAAAAUGGACGACAAGAGUAUUCCCACCUCAUAGGGUGAUAGGGAGCGUUAAAUAAAUGAGUUAAUACAUGUGAGGCA